AGAGCGAACGCUGGCGGCAGGCUUAACACAUGCAAGUCGAACGGAUCCUUCGGGAUUAGUGGCGGACGGGUGAGUAACACGUGGGAACGUGCCCUUAGGUUCGGAACAACACAGGGAAACUUGUGCUAAUACCGGAUGUGCCCCUUACGGGGGAAAGAUUUAUCGCCUUUGGAGCGGCCCGCGUCUGAUUAGCUUGUUGGUGAGGUAAAGGCUCACCAAGGCUACGAUCAGUAGCU
rnacentral:rRNA from 1 species